CACCAGCCCCUCGAGUGGUGGGGAUGAUUAUUUGGCCUAAAGCGUCCGUAGCCGGCCGGGUAAGUUUCCCGUUAAAUCCAACGUCUCAAGCGUUGGACUGCGGGAAAUACUGCCUGGCUAGAGAGUGGGAGAGGUCAGCGGUAUUCUGGGGGUAGGGGCGAAAUCCUUUGAUCCCCGGAGGACCACCAGUGGCGAAGGCUGCUGACUAGAACACGUCUGACGGUCAGGGACGAAAGCUGGGGUAGCGAACCGGAUUAGAUACCCGGGUAGUCCCAGCCGUAAACGAUGCAUGCUAGGUGUUGGGUUGGCCACGAGCCACCCCAGUGCCGCAGGGAAGCCGUUAAGCAUGCCGCCCGGGAAGUACGAUCGCAAGAUUGAAACUUAAAGGAAUUGGCGGGGAGCACCACCAGGCGUGAAGCCUGCGGUUU
rnacentral:rRNA from 1 species